UACGGAGGGGGCGAGCGUUAUUCGGAAUUAUUGGGCGUAAAGGGCGCGUAGGCGGCGCGGUAAGUCAAAGGUGAAAUCCCUCGGCUCAACUGAGGAACUGCCUUUGAUACUGCCGUGCUCGAGGCCGGGAGGGGGUAGCGGAAUUCCCAGUGUAGCGGUGAAAUGCGUAGAUAUUGGGAGGAACACCAGUGGCGAAGGCGGCUACCUGGACCGGUUCUGACGCUGAGGUGCGAAAGCGUGGGGAGCAAACAGG
rnacentral:rRNA from 1 species